UACGAAGGGGGCUAGCGUUGCUCGGAAUCACUGGGCGUAAAGGGUGCGUAGGCGGGUCUUAAGUCAGGGGUGAAAUCCUGGAGCUCAACUCCAGAACUGCCUUUGAUACUGAGGAUCUUGAGUUCGGGAGAGGUGAGUGGAACUGCGAGUGUAGAGGUGAAAUUCGUAGAUAUUCGCAGGAACACCAGUGGCGAAGGCGGCUCACUGGCCCGAUACUGACGCUGAGGCACGAAAGCGUGGGGAUCAAACAGG
rnacentral:rRNA from 1 species